CCGUUUCUGUACUUUAUUG
rnacentral:misc_RNA from 1 species